rnacentral:rRNA from 1 species
GAUGAACGCUGGCGGCGUGCCUAAUACAUGCAAGUCGAGCGAAUGGAUUAAGAGCUUGCUCUUAUGAAGUUAGCGGCGGACGGGUGAGUAACACGUGGGUAACCUGCCCAUAAGACUGGGAUAACUCCGGGAAACCGGGGCUAAUACCGGAUAACAUCUUGAACCGCAUGGUUCGAAAUUGAAAGGCGGCUUCGGCUGUCACUUCUGGAUGGACCCGCGUCGCAUUAGCUAGUUGGUGAGGUAACGGCUCACCAAGGCAACGAUGCGUAGCCGACCUGAGAGGGUGAUCGGCCACACUGGGACUGGGACACGGCCCAGACUCCUACGGGAGGCAGCAGUAGGGAAUCUUCCGCAAUGGACGAAAGUCUGACGGAGCAACGCCGCGUGAGUGAUGAAGGCUUUCGGGUCGUAAAACUCUGUUGUUAGGGAAGAACAAGUGCUAGUUGAAUAAGCUGGCACCUUGACGGUACCUAACCAGAAAGCCACGGCUAACUACGUGCCAGCCGCCGCAGUAA